rnacentral:rRNA from 1 species
GACGAACGCUGGCGGCGUGCUUAACACAUGCAAGUCGAACGGAAAGGCCCCUUUUGGGGGUGCUCGAGUGGCGAACGGGUGAGUAACACGUGGGUGAUCUGCCCUGCACUUUGGGAUAAGCCUGGGAAACUGGGUCUAAUACCGGAUAGGACCGCAUGCUGCAUGGUGUGUGGUGGAAAGCUUUUGCGGUGUGGGAUGGGCCCGCGGCCUAUCAGCUUGUUGGUGGGGUGANGGCCUACCAAGGCGACGACGGGUAGCCGGCCUGAGAGGGUGUCCGGCCACACUGGGACUGAGAUACGGCCCAGACUCCUACGGGAGGCAGCAGUGGGGAAUAUUGCGCAAUGGGCGAAAGCCUGACGCAGCGACGCCGCGUGAGGGACGAAGGCC